rnacentral:lncRNA from 1 species
GCUAACAUGUUGAUAAUCAAAGCGUACAUAAUCUGUACAGGAAUAGAAUAAUUCUGAAACUUCUUACUCAUGUCCAUUGCAUAAAGGAAAUGCAAAGGUAAGAUACUUGCCUGAUUCGCUGAUUACAAAUCUCAACUUAGGUUUUAUCUCUUUAUCACAACCUAUCAAUAAUCAGAUCAUUCGUUCGAUUAGAACAAUAUAUCAUAACACAUAGUACUGUCUAUUACAGUCAGCACAUAGUCUAAUCACGUCAUCACAUAAUCGCAGUGAUCAUACUUUUAGUUCAUAUUCUAUACUUGAAAUAUUUUUAUACAUUUUUCAAAUAUCUCAUCCAUGCUCUUACAGAAGUCUUUUCUUUCUAUUAUAGGGUCUGACAUUUGUCGGCGUACCGACAGCUUUAUCGGGUAAAUACUGAGUCUAAGACUCUUAUCCUAUACCUCAACAUCUGUAAAUAUCAAACAUUUUAUUUUUAAUCAUUUUCGAAUUUUCCAGAAAUUGAAAAAUUUAAAAUAAUUCAAAUCUGUCACUACCGGGCCUAUAGUGAUAUAACUGUUACUAUAGGUGUUCCUCAAAACUUCAUAACUUCAUAAUCGGUUCUCAAGUCAGCUAGUUUGGCCGGCUAUAACUUUCAAACAUCGGAAUCAUAAUUAAAUGAUUUAAACAUUAAACAAUUCCAUUAUCAUUAAUAAUUAAUUUAUAUUAAACUAUUAAUGAAACCAUUGCCAAAAUAUAAAAGUUAUUUAUAAUAACUCAAACUAUUUUUAAAACAUUUAUAUUACCCUUAAAUGAUUUUUAAAACAAUUAAAAUCAUUUUUAAAUAAUCACCAUUAAUAUAUAAAUAUUAAUGUACUAUUCAUCCAAAUAUUAAAAGUCAUUAAUUAUAACUUAAAAUAUUUUUAAAUCCUUAAUAUCCUCUUUAAAUGAUUUUUAAAUAAAUAAAACCAUUUUUAAACUAUUUAUUUAAUAAUAAUUAUUAAAUAAACUAAAUAUCAUUAAUAUUAUCUUAAUAUCAUUAAUAUUAAAUUAUUAAUGAAAUUAUCCUUUAAAUAUUAAAAGUUAUAUUUUAUAACUUAAAAUAUUUUUAAAUACCUUAAUUUCAUUUAAAAUGAUUUUUAUAAUAUUAAAAUCAUUUUUAAACUAAAUUAUUUAAUAUAAUCAUUAAAUAACUUUAAUAUCAUUAAUAUAUAAUUAAUUAAUGAAAUUCAUCACAAAAUAUUAAAAGUCAUGGAAAAUAACUUAAAAUAUUUUCUUAUACCAUAAUAUAAUUUUUCAUGAUUUUUCAUGAAUUAAAACUAUUUUUAAAUUAUUUAUUUAAUAUUAUAAUUAAAUAAAUAAAUACCUUUUAUAUUCCAAAAAUAUUAAAUUUUUAUGAUAUAUACUCAAAAUAAUUAAAAACUAUUUUUCGGACUUUUAAAAGAAUUUUUCAGAAUUUAUUUGGUAUUUUUAAUAAUUAAAAUCUAAUUUUUCUAAUUUUUAAAUCAAUUUUCGGAAAAUAAUAAUAAUAACCGUCGCUAAAGGCCCCUAUAGUGACAGAAGCGUCGCUAUAGGUGUUCUUCACCAACCCAGAUUUCAUAAGGCAGUUAGCGAGUAGGCACGUUUGACCGAGUAUAACUCUCUUAUCUGAACGAAUUUGGACAAUCUAUAAAUUGGAUCUUGUAGACGAAAUACCAGACUACAAUUACCAACAAUCAUAACGUUUAAACAACAUCCGAUCUGGGAGAAAUCAGCCAUCAAAGUAGCUUCCAAAGCCGUUCUUCACGAAGAACAGUUUGAGGUGCUUACUUUGGACCUCUAUAACUUGAUGAUCGUGUAAUAUUUUGGUGAUCUAUCAACUCCAGUGUGUAGAAAACAUGUAGGAAUAUAACUUCAAACCUUAACAUCAUCAUAAAAACAUAAUAUCUAACCGAAAAUCGUUGGUCAAAAUGCAACACGGAACUUGUUCAUGAAAAAUCUAGUUUCGCUAGUUUGGCAUAUUUGGUCAAUGGGUUUUGACCGCUUAUAUCUCUCAAUAUAAAACUGAUUUAGACUUGUUUCUUUUUUUAUCUUAAAGACCACAUAACAAGCUACACAUAUCAUCUUUAAAACACCACAAACAGUAAAUAAUCACAGAGAUAUAAGGCUUCACAUUUGCCCAAAAAUAACAGAAUUCGAUUUUUCAAAAGUUGGAAAAACUUUGAUUUUGAGCACUUUGAUGUUAUGGGUCAUGAAUUUAACAAUCCAGAACAUUAAUAGACUCUCUAUUACACAACUUUAAACAAUCAAUUGCAUCAAUUAACAUCGAAUCGAAGGAUUUCUAGAAUUUAGGAUUUCCUACCUUUUCAAGCUUGAUUUUUGAUUUCUGGCUUCUUGAUGCUUCUGAUUUGUGGUUUGUGAUGGUUGGUCUUUGAUUAUGAGCUUUUGGGUAAGAUAAUUUCGUUGGCUAGAGGUUGAGAGAGUGUGGCUAGAGAGUUUAGAAAAUAUUAGUGUGUGAAUUCAUUCAAUCUCCUUGAUCUCUAUUUAUAGGCCAUGCUAGAUGUUUUGGAUGCUGAUUUGGUUGGUAUAAUUGAGCUCACAUGAUAAUUAUGGA